AUCCAACUGACGAGUCCCAAAUAGGACGAAACACGCGUCCUGGAU
rnacentral:hammerhead_ribozyme from 1 species